GAAAACCUGAUAUCCAGAAUUUCAUUUUAGGAAACGCAAUAAGGAGUGGCUUUGCUCUGCCCUAAUGAAUGUGAUACUCGUGUUAUUUGCUGCAUGCUUUGCUUCAAACGUUCUUGCUGGAUGCAAGCGGAAGAGGUGCCCUUUUGGUAGUGGCUACGGCUGCAUACCCUUCACUCAAUGCCCUGUGCGCUGUAUGACUUGCUAUAGCGGCUGCAAGUUACCGUCUGUAUGCUGCAACCUCCGAAAAAUGAAUGCCUGUUCCUUGGCUGGAGGAACCUGUAACCGUACCUGUCAAAAAGUAAUUCCUCACGCCUGGUGUCGUCGACCUUUGAAGUGCUGUGC